CUUUACCCCCCUGGGAAGCACGACCUGGGGGCGACGGGAGCUCAGGGGCUCGGAGGAGCAGGGCGCCCCGACUUAGGCAUGGGGGGGCAGUGGAAGUGGCGCGGGUGUGCUCCCCAAUCGGACUAUUCCCCUCCCUCCCCUCCCCCUGGAAUUCCCUUCCCCAAGUCCAAGUUUUCUCAUGCAUGGAGGUUCUUGAGAAUGUACUGAAAAAUUAACGAGUUGGAUUGAACCUGAAAUACUUGACUCUCUGUGUCCACGGAGCUUUCUGAACUGCCUCUUCCCAAAGUCUCAGACCAUAAGGGGUACUGGUGGUGUGGGAUAGAGCGGCGAUCGCUGUUUCCCAGUUACAGGGACGCUCUUUCUGUAUACGCAGCCACAGUGUUACCUUCCUAGGGGCAUGACUGGGCCUUUAGUAAAUCCCUGUAUCUAUAAAAGUCAGCUAUUAUAACAGGGCCCACUGUGUAUUUAGCAAUAUACCAGGUUGCCGUUGUCAUUUCUAAUCCCACGGGCAGUAGAUUUUCUAGUAGUAACUAGGUGUCCUUUACAGUGCUAGUUUCUCUAGACUCGUUUCUCAGGUCCGAGAUUUUUCAUGGUCUUAGGCACGAAAGAUCUUAUAAUGAUUUAAAUCCAUUGAAAUCUUGGCAUUCGUCUUUAAGUGAUUUUUUUUCCCCAAAUAUUACUCUCAGUGUCUUGUAAGCUCUGGUGCCAGCUUCACAGAGUUUCUGUCCUUGCUUUUUCCUCCUGAUUUGGCAGCUAAAUUCCCUUUCAGGAAUUGACAGGAGAUACCUUUCCUGGACUGCAAGCAGGGCAGCUAGACACAAGGAAAUUGGCAGCAUCACCGCUCUGGGUCUGUUGUUUUAACUCACAGGUGUCCAGGAGAAUUUAAACUUUUAUUGUGGUUUUUGUGGCAGGUGUAUUUUUGAGCACCUUCAUCUAAGUGAAUUUGCCAAUGCUGAUGUCAACAACCUUCAGGACCUGGUUUUAAAAGAUUAUUUCUUCACUAAAAUAGGUUUUAAAUGUUUUUUGAAACUAUCCAGAAAGUGGCUAAAGAAAACUUGGUUGGCAAAGCCUGUUCCGCUUAAAUGUUUGAAGUCUUAUUUUAAAGUUAUUCACACUUGGUGAUGUUCCACCCAAAACCAAACUUUUGUCUUCUGGAGGUUAGGAUUCCCUUUUUAGAAAGUUUUAUAACUUUCUACUGUUUAGGCACUUUGUUUCUUGUAUUCAACAUAUAAUGAUGUAAUGUUUUUCAUGCUCGCAGCACCUAAGAUUUUAGAACUUUUGUGCUGAAGCAAUAAAGAUAAGACAGUCCCUGCUCUCAAGUACCUUACAAUUUAAUUAGAGUAUUGGCAGAAGAUUCAGAACACUUUUCCCGCCCCCCGUGCACUAAAAAAAAAAAAAAUCUCCAUAAAAGCUAAGGAAAUGGUUUUGAAUCCUGGUUCAGUGGUGAUAUUUGUGUGGGAAGGUAAGGUGAUAGCAAAGUGUGUUACUCCCUAAUCUUAUUCACAAUAAGAAUAGAAUUUGGGGAACUGAGAUGAAAAAGUGUCUAACCCGCCCCUUGGUCAGUCUUUCUCAAAUACUGCUCUCCUCAUCUCUCUUUUGAUGGGACUUGAAUAGUAUGUAGUUCUUGAGUGAGAGUCCCAAGCAGGUGUGUCCUCAGUGCGGCUGAUGGAAGAGACGGGCCUUAUAUUCCAGAUGGCCUGGCGGUAGUGUUAACAUUGUUAGGAAAAAUUUAAAGUCAGAUAUUUGUUGUUUUUUUUUUUACAUUCCUAAAGGAUUUGUGGAGUGUCACACAGUAUAAUAUCAAUCAAUCAAUCAAUCAAUAAAAAGCUGGUUUUUAUUUUCAUCCUCUUAGAAGUCUACACAGAGGUGGAUUCAAAGAGCAUUUAUUUCCCUGGACAGUAUGUUGGUUCAGGUUUGUGGGAAUAUUAAAUUGAGACCCUCUUUUAAAUGAAUUUUCCCGUACUGAUUUCAGUAACCUUUCUCCCCUGGUUUCAAAAGACUGUGUCUUCACCAAAAUGAUUUUUAGGUGUUUUUGAACAAUCCAGAAACUUGGCUAAAGAAAAUCUGGUUGACAAAGACUUUCAGACUAUAUUUGAAGUCAAUUUUAAAAUUGUUCACACUUCAUGAAGUUUCGCCUAAAACCAAAUUUUUAUCUGUGCCGUAGAGUAGGGCUCCCAAACCUUUCUCACCUCAUGCCACAUAUAGUCAUGGUCAAGUUUGUGUGGCCCCUUGAGACAAUGCCCCCCUGGGGAGGGGGGCACUCAGCCUCCCUGUGCCAAAGAGGUUCAGUAUCUCUGCACACCUCUCACACCCACAGCAAAUGUGGCAGCAUGCCUUGGCAUAUGGGUUGGAGAACUUCAGCAUGCAGCACAGGAAGAAUAAACUUGCCUUGUAGAAUGCAAAGGUCAGGGAUUACUAGCUGUUCACUUUGACCUUAAAACAUGUCUAUGUGGGGACUUCCCUGGCAGUCCAGUGAUUAAGACUCUGCGCUUCCACUGCAAGGGGUGUGGGUUUGAUCCCUGGUGGGGAAGUAAGAUCCCGCAAGCCUUGAGGCAUAGCCAAAUUAGGGGGGGAAAAAAUAGAGUGCCCUCUUUUACUUUUCUUUCUUUUUUUUUUUUAAUUUAGGACUGGUUGCUCUGAGAAGGCAAGGAUCACAUCUAUUUUAGUCACCACUGUUUUCCCCAUGCCUGGCUUAAAGAAGAUGCUCAGCGGGGGCAAGGAUACAAGGAGAAGAAACUGAAGAGUCAAGAGGGGAUGCCUAAGGGUGGAAGAGAAACAAGAGCACAAAGAGAGGACCAGGCUUGUCCAAGGACAUUUCACCUGCAAGGCAGCACAGAAAGCAGGAAAGAACAGAAUUUCAUGGAGCAGUUUUGGUGAACGAGUCAACACGCAAACAGGAAUGAGAGCCCUGGGACUUUCCUAAGACAAACAAAGCAUUUAAAAGAAAUGACAAUAUUUAGCAGAACUCAAAACUCCCAAUUCCAGAUUAAGAAAACAACUUGCUGCAAACAACUGAAGAUAUUUUAAAUUAGCUCUAGUUUUUACCAAAAACUGUCUCAUCACAGCACCAAAAAAAGGUACAUUACAUUUAAGAAAUCUUUUUACGAUGGGAAAAGAUCACUUUUCAGCUCCAGGGAGAACUACUGCAUCCUCAGCUGAUCCAACUCAGUGGCUCAUCCCAAGUCUUGGUUCAUUCCUGCUUCUCCAAGUGCCCCGUUUCCUGUCAAAUUGCUAUUGUCCCUAAGCCUUCACGUUUCCUCUUAAUCAUAUUUCUCCCCCUAGGCCCUUUUUCAGUAAUGAGUCAAAGCUCCAGGCAGCUGUCAAAUAUUCCUCUUGUGCAGGCCAAGCCUUCCAAGGAGUGACACCACAAAGUUAAGACGCAAACGGAUGUGACAGGGCAAUUGAUGUUGGACUCGGCACAGCCCUGGGCAGAGAAGCAGAGUUGCAGAGGAAGGCACUAUGUGGAGCCAGGAUACACAUUAUUUCCAGAAGAGUCAUUGGGAUAUAAACUGCACAUGGCCCAAAUUCAGAGUCCGGGGUCAAAACCCUUGGGAGAUCAUAUGGUCCAGAGUCUCUUACCCCAGCUAAUGCUUGGGAUCAGUAAACAUCCUAGACCAAGGAUCUGAAAAUGGUGGCCCGUGAGCCAAAUAUGAUCCUCUGCCUAUUUUUGUAUGGCUGGUAAGCUUCGAGUGAUUUUAAAAUUUUUAAAUAUUUGAAAAAAAUCAAGUAAUAUUGUUGACAUUAAAAUUAUAUACAAUUGUGGGAAUUCCCUGGUGGUCCAGUGGUUAAGACUCUGCUUCCAUUGCAGGGGGCGCUGGUUUGAUCUCCCUGAUUGGGGAAGAUCCCACAUGCCAUGCAGCUCGUGGCCAAAAAAAAAAAAGGAAAGAAAGAAAGAAAAAUUAUAUAUAAUUAAAAUUUCAGUGUCUAAAAUUAAAGUUUUGUUGGAUACCACCACACCCAUUUACCUAUGCCUAUGUCUAUGGCUGCUUUCUUGCUGCAGUGGAAGAGCUGAAUAGUUGUGUCAGAGAUCGUACGGCCCACAGAGCCUAAAAUAUUUAGUCUCUGACCCUUUGCAGAGAAAGUUUGCUGUCCCCUGUAUUAAACUCUUUUUCACAAACCACAGUAGCAAGAGAAGAGAAAGGAACAGGGGACAAGUCAAACCACAACCAUCACCUCAAUGAUGGGGAGCCUAGCCUUGUCAGAUAGGAACAGGGCCUGGGAACCACUCAUUAGGUCUGGCCACUGUGUUUCCAUGCGGGGCCUUCUGGAUGAAGUGAGGGAUGGGACAGGCCCAGUGACCAUCCCCACUGUUGUAGCAUCUCACCCUGCUAGGGCCCUUCUCCAUCACUCAGGGUGUCUCUGGACGACCAUUAUGAGAGAAACCUUUCCUAUCCUAGUCCCCAGGGGAGAAAAAGUCUAAGUCUAGCUCCAUUUGGCAGAUGGAGAAUUUGGAUAUUGGUUCAAGAAAGACCUUACGUGGAGUAGCAGCAAUGCUGGGUGCCAUCAACAUAUUCAAGAUUAGUCCCCUCUCUAAAUUCAGCUUCUGUGCUGGCGCCUUCUCCAGUCCCUGGGCUCAGUCCUGGGUCCUGAUACAGCCCAGGGUGGGGGACCAUGUCUUCAGACAUCUCAAGGGCCAUCUCGUGAAAGAUGGUUCUGUGAGGUCCCAGAGAUCAAAACUAGUACUAAUGGGUGGAGCAAUAGUAGGUCUGAACACAGCCUGGGGAAGGCUUGGCUCACAGUAUGUGCUGAACAGAGCUGGAACCAGCCGUCUUGGGAGGCAAUGAGCUUGCUGCUUUAGCAGAAAGGCUGCAGGUAGGGAGAAAGGUGGUGGUGUCAGAUGACCACUGGGUGCUAGGAUUACCUGAAUCAGGACUCAUGGAUUAAGGGGCAGAGUUUGAGGAUUCGGACACUGCAUGCAACAGCUCAGAGCAUGGGCUUUGAAGUCAGAGCUGUUCUAAGUUCAAAUUAUGGCUCUGUCACUUACUCGCCAAGUGGUAAAGUUAGUUUAAGAUGAGCCUCAGCUCCCACAUCUAUAAAAUGUGAAUAUGGUCCUUACCAUACUGAGAUACUGUUAGGGAUAAAUUAUACCACAUUUAGUGUCAACAGAGGUAGCUGUUGUUGAAUAUUUAUUACAAGAAAUCUUUGUCAGUUGCUGAUUGCCUUAUACAUCACUUGAGUCCAAAUCUUGGUAGGAAAUUUUAUCUUUUUUUUUUUUUCCAAAGCCAUUUGAGGGCAGGGAAUAAAGGAAAUGAAGAAAUAAAUAAAAUAGUUCUCUGGGGUUACACAUGAGCCGUCAGGCAGGAGAUGGUGACUGUCCUGUGUGUGUCUUCCUGGGAUCAGUGACAUCAAUGUGUCCUUCACCGAGACUGUUGCUUCAAAUUGGGUUGUUAAAUUUCUCCCCACAACUUCAAAGUGUUGGGCAAAGAGGAGAGAUGCUCGUCAGAUGCCUGAUGGUAACAUGUUGCUGAUGAUGGCUGGCAGGGAUUUGAGAAUCAGAGAACAUCACAUUAAUUUGCUUUUAUAUUUUUCCCAAAUGUUUUACAAAACCAUUAAUCAAGUAUCCCGUUUGGUUGGAAAACAAACGUUGGUGGUGAGUAAUGAAUACCAGCUUCCGUCACAUUUGUCCUUUUCUAGGAGUUUCUAAAGUUCUGGACUUGCUAGCUUAUAAGUUUACUGCCACCAAGGGAGAUUUUUAUAAACUGCAGCAUCUGUGGGCUGCUUUACUGACAUCAGGGAGCUGAGCCCACCUUUAAGUGAGCAUAGGACAGGGCAGCUUAUCAUCUUCUGCUGGAACGCGCAUUUCUUUUUUCUUUUCUGGCUGCACCGAGCAGCAUGUGGGAUCUUAGUUCUCCAACCUGGGAUCGUCCCACGCCCCCUGCAGUGGAAGCUCAGAGUCUUAACCACUGGGCUGCCAGGGAAGUCCUGGGAUGCAUGUUUCUUGAUUUCAUUUUAAUCCAGUUCUCCUACUGGGUGCCAAGAACUGUAUGAGGCUUUGGAAAUACAGAAGCGAGUGGGGCAGUCACUGUCCUUAAGGGAACCAUCUGGUGAGAAAUACCUGCUGCUGUGUCCUUGCAAAGUGGCCCCUGCCCCACGUGUAAGCAUGGAGUAGGAAUGCCUUGUUGGGCUGUGGGGGCCAGAGAAGGCUUCCUGGAGGGGUCACGCCUGAGUUAAGUUUGGAAGGAUCAUUAGUUAAGGGCGAGCCAUCAAAAGUAAAGUUGCUGCCCAGUCAAAGGCAUGAAGGCCAGAGACAGCCUGCAGGAGCAGCCAAGUGAAGUCCAGUGGGUGAGGUAGGCCACAGCUGGCAAUGAAGCUGGAGUGAUGGGUGGGCGGGGCCUUACGGGCAGACCUUGAAUGACAUGUGAAAGAGCGUGCACUCUUCCACGGGGGAAGCAUGAAGGAUUUUAGGAAGCGAGGCAUCAAUCAGGUUUGCACUUUUAAAUAGGCGUUUUGUGAGCCACAAUGUGGAAGACCAACUAGAAGGCACGAGCCUGGGCUUGGAGGCUGCUGAGAGGCUGCUGAGACACCAGGACAGCAAUGAUCACUUCUCCUUUCCUUCCGAGCCCUCACCAUCUGCCUGGGUCAUGUCCUCAUGGUGGGGAGGGGGGUGCAUGGGAUCCCUCGAUGUUUGCUGACUUAGCAGGAAUUUGUAUCAGCAGAACCAAGUGUCUCGGGGUGAGUGUGUGUGUGUGUGUGUGUGUGUCUGUUUAACAGGAGUUCCCAUCGACCUUGACAAUGACAGGGAAACCAGACAUGUUUGAACUGUACUGCACAGUAGUCAAAUUCAGGGUAUUUGUAUUUUGAACUCAAGAGGCCCUCGUUUAAGUCUGCCAGCAGAGGAAAAAUAGCUUCUAUCAUGGAGGCUACUUAAUCACGAUCAAAUUCAGCACUUGUAGGUGUCAUAGGUAUGCGAGAAGAGGAUGUGUAAAAUAGCAGGGUCGCCAGAAGGAAAGGCACAUGCGCGACAUGAAGCAGGUGUAUAGAGCAUUGCCUGCAGGCACCAGCUCCCUGCAUCUGCAGAGCAGCCUCAUGUUACUGUCUUUUAUACCUGAAAACAUCGGGGUAUAAGAAUGUGGAGUAGAGCACACCCUGGAGGCUUGAGUGUGGAGCUCCUGACUGUCCAGGAAGGCAAACAGGGAGGAUGUCUGUCCAUCCUCUUGGGCCUGUUGCAAGGCAACUCUGAGAACAGACCGCACGAUAACAUG